UACGUAGGGGGCAAGCGUUGUCCGGAAUCAUUGGGCGUAAAGCGCGUGUAGGCGGCUCGGUAAGUCUGCUGUGAAAGUCCAGGGCUCAACCCUGGGAUGCCGGUGGAUACUGUCGAGCUCGAGUCCGGAAGAGGCGAGUGGAAUUCCUGGUGUAGCGGUGAAAUGCGCAGAUAUCUGGAGGAACACCAAUGGCGAAGGCAGCUCGCUGGGACGUGACUGACGCUGAGACGCGAAAGCGUGGGGAGCAAACAGG
rnacentral:rRNA from 1 species